UUGUGCUAUAAAUACAUAAGGUUUUCCAUUUAGGGAGAGAAGAAGAUGGUGGCUGAAAUUUUUAGCCAAGUGUUCCUAGAACCUAGAAAUUUCGCCCAUACAAAAUUGCUAUUUCCGGUAUUAUUUAGGUAACACAGUAGAAGACCGUGGAACGUUCGAGGAUCACGAUUAUACGGGUGAUGGAGAUUCCAUUGAAAAGUUAUGGAACUGAAGGCUCACGUGGU
rnacentral:lncRNA from 1 species